rnacentral:tRNA from 1 species
GCGAAGGUAGCCAAGGUGGUCAAGGCACUGGACUGAAAAUCCAGCUAUGUAGGUUCGACUCCUACCCUUCGCA